UGGGGAAUAUUGGACAAUGGGCGAAAGCCUGAUCCAGCCAUGCCGCGUGUGUGAAGAAGGUCUUCGGAUUGUAAAGCACUUUAAGUUGGGAGGAAGGGCAGUAAGCGAAUACCUUGCUGUUUUGACGUUACCGACAGAAUAAGCACCGGCUAACUCUGUGCCAGCAGCCGCGGUAAUACAGAGGGUGCAAGCGUUAAUCGGAAUUACUGGGCGUAAAGCGCGCGUAGGUGGUUCGUUAAGUUGAAUGUGAAAGCCCCGGGCUCAACCUGGGAACUGCAUCCAAAACUGGCGGGCUAGAGUAGGGCAGAGGGUGGUGGAAUUUCCUGUGUAGCGGUGAAAUGCGUAGAUAUAGGAAGGAACACCAGUGGCGAAGGCGACCACCUGGGAUCAUACUGACACUGAGGUGCGAAAGCGUGGGGAGCAAACAGG
rnacentral:rRNA from 1 species